GAAGAAGAGAAACUCCCCUUCCGGUUUUGUCGGUCCAUGCGUGGCAAUGCAAACACACGCGGACAACCUGUCGAUCAAUCCUUGGCCAUCCACUCGAGCAGUGUGACAUCCGAGUGUAAUAUUCACUGACUGACAUCCUGUGCAGUCAUUUCACUUGAUCAGCGCUCCUUCUUCACCACAACGGAUCGAUACAGCGUCCGCAUUACUGAAGACGCCGCACCGAUCCGCCUGUCGAUCUCACGAUCCACUCUUCUCUCACUCGUGAACAAGACUCCGAGGUACUUGAACUCCUCCACUUGGGGCAAGAUCUCCUCCCCAACCCGGAGAUGGC